rnacentral:rRNA from 1 species
AUUGAACGCUGGCGGCAGGCCUAACACAUGCAAGUCGAACGAGUGGCGGACGGGUGAGUAAUGUCUGGGAAACUGCCUGAUGGAGGGGGAUAACUACUGGAAACGGUAGCUAAUACCGCAUACCAUCGGAUGUGCCCAUAUGGGAUUAGCUAGUAGGUGGGGUAAAGGCUCACCUAGGCGACGAUCCCUAGCUGGUCUGAGAGGAUGACCAGCCACACUGGAACUGAGACACGGUCCAGACUCCUACGGGAGGCAGCAGUGGGGAAUAUGGCACAAUGGGCGCAAGCCUGAUGCAGCCAUGCCGCGUGUAUGAAGAAGGCCUUCGGGUUGUAAAGGACUUUCAGCGAGGAGGCGUUACCCGCAGAAGAAGCACCGGCUAACUCCGUGCCAGCAGCCGCGGUAAUAC